rnacentral:tRNA from 1 species
GUUUUAAUAAUUUAAAUAAAAUGUUGGUCUUGUAAACCAAAAAUAAGUCCACCUUUUAAAACU